rnacentral:rRNA from 1 species
UCGUUGCUCAGAUUGAACGCUGGCGGCAGGCUUAACACAUGCAAGUCGAGCGGAGAUGAGGUGCUUGCACCUUAUCUUAGCGGCGGACGGGUAAGUGAUGCUUAGGAAUCUGCCUAUUAGUGGGGGACAACAUUCCGAAAGGAAUGCUAAUACCGCAUACGUCCUACGGGAGAAAGCAGGGGAUCUUCGGACCUUGCGCUAAUAGAUGAGCCUAAGUCGGAUUAGCUAGUUGGUGGGGUAAAGGCCUACCAAGGCGACGAUCUGUANCGGGUCUGAGAGGAUGAUCCGCCACACUGGGACUGAGACACGGCCCAGACUCCUACGGGAGGCAGCAGUGGGGAAUAUUGGACAAUGGGGGGAACCCUGAUCCAGCCAUGCCGCGUGUGUGAAGAAGGCCUUAUGGUUGUAAAGCACUUUAAGCGAGGAGGAGGCUACUGACACUAAUACUCUUGGAUAGUGGACCUUACUCGCAUAAUAAGCACCGGCUAACUCUGUGCCAGCAGCCGCGGUAAUACAGAGGGUGCGACCGGUAAUCGGAUUUACUGGGCGUAAAGCGUGCGUAGGCGG